GGAUGAUGUCUGGGGCCUCUUGGGUGGCCGCGAAGGUCCGGCCCCGGGCGUCGGUCUCUUUCUCGCCGCGUGCUGCCGAAUGUCGGCAUCUGUUAUUCUUACUCUCGACGGCAUGCCUGCAAUUUCGAUGAAAGAUUAGCACAAAUUCGAAGACGGAUGAAAAAGCCAAAAGAUAACCGAUAGAUCGAACUGUACCUAAGCGGGAAACUGAACUCAGACCGACGUCGUACAGAGCUUGCUUGGUGACGAGCUCUCUCUGCUUCGGCACCGACACAUCCUUUAGUCGGUGAAAGUCCUCUCGAUCUCCUGCCUCCAUCUGACUAUUUUCGUCCGACUGAGUUCGAGGGUCGUCCCAGUGAGAAGGAAACCCCCAGGAUAGUGAAAAAGAAGCAAAGAAAAAUUGGUUCUUCCAUC
rnacentral:lncRNA from 1 species